AAUAUUGCACAAUGGGCGCAAGCCUGAUGCAGCCAUGCCGCGUGUAUGAAGAAGGCCUUCGGGUUGUAAAGUACUUUCAGCAGUGAGGAAGGUGGGUAUGUUAAUAGCAUAUUCAUUUGACGUUAGCUGCAGAAGAAGCACCGGCUAACUCCGUGCCAGCAGCCGCGGUAAUACGGAGGGUGCGAGCGUUAAUCGGAAUUACUGGGCGUAAAGCGCAUGCAGGUGGUUUGUUAAGUCAGAUGUGAAAGCCCGGGGCUCAACCUCGGAAUUGCAUUUGAAACUGGCAAACUAGAGUAUUGUAGAGGGGGGUAGAAUUUCAGGUGUAGCGGUGAAAUGCGUAGAGAUCUGAAGGAAUACCGGUGGCGAAGGCGGCCCCCUGGACAGAUACUGACACUCAGAUGCGAAAGCGUCGGGGAGCAAACAGGAUUAGAUACCCUGGUAG
rnacentral:rRNA from 1 species